UAGCAUGUUUCCAGUGGCCGUGGUUGACUAUGGCCAUAGGAUCAUAGGAUCUCCAACUGUACAUGAGAGCAACCGAGGGCAGCUCUGACAGCACGGGUCUGCGUAACAUCUACCUGCAUCUGCUAGAAUGGCUCAAGGGGA
rnacentral:snoRNA from 1 species